rnacentral:rRNA from 1 species
GACGAACGCUGGCGGCGUGCCUAAUACAUGCAAGUAGAACGCUGAAGGAGGAGCUUGCUCUUCUGGAUGAGUUGCGAACGGGUGAGUAACGCGUAGGUAACCUGCCUGGUAGCGGGGGAUAACUAUUGGAAACGAUAGCUAAUACCGCAUGACAACAGUUAUUGCAUGAUAACUGUUUAAAAGGGGCAACUGCUCCACUACCAGAUGGACCUGCGUUGUAUUAGCUAGUUGGUGAGGUAACGGCUCACCAAGGCGACGAUACAUAGCCGACCUGAGAGGGUGAUCGGCCACACUGGGACUGAGACACGGCCCAGACUCCUACGGGAGGCAGCAGUAGGGAAUCUUCGGCAAUGGACGGAAGUCUGACCGAGCAACGCCGCGUGAGUGAAGAAGGUUUUCGGAUCGUAAAGCUCUGUUGUAAGAGAAGAACGAGUGUGAGAGUGGAAAGUUCACACUGUGACGGUAUCUUACCAGAAAGGGACGGCUAACUACGUG